CCUACGGGGGACUGCAGUGGGGGAUAUUGCACAAUGGGGGGAACCCUGAUGCAGCGACGCCGCGUGGGUGAAGAAGCGCCUCGGCGCGUAAAGCCCUGUCAGCAGGGAAGAAAAUGACGGUACCUGAAGAAGAAGCCCCGGCUAACUACGUGCCAGCAGCCGCGGUAAUACGUAGGGGGCAAGCGUUAGCCGGAUUUACUGGGUGUAAGGGGGGCGCAGACGGCGAUGCAAGCCAGGAGUGAAAGCCCGGGGCCCAACCCCGGGACGGCUCUUGGAACUGCGUGGCUGGAGUGCAGGAGGGGCAGGCGGAAUUCCUGGUGUGGCGGUGAAAUGCGUAGAUAUCAGGAGGAACACCGGUGGCGAAGGCGGCCUGCUGGACUGCAACUGACGUUGAGGCCCGAAAGCGUGGGGAGCAAACAGGAUUAGAUACCCCGGUAGUC
rnacentral:rRNA from 1 species